rnacentral:pre_miRNA from 2 species
CCGGGUGAAAGCCUCGUCAUGAUCUUGCCCAACUGGCGAUCGGUGGGACUUUCGUUCGUUU